rnacentral:pre_miRNA from 1 species
UGGACAGAUUAUUGUAUUCGACUGUAUUCACGGCGUAUAAUAGGGGAUUACACUAUUUUUAAAACGGAAAGUGAAUCAAUUAACAUAAUAGACUCCU